UACGUAGGUGGCAAGCGUUGUCCGGAUUUAUUGGGUUUAAAGGGUGCGUAGGCGGUUUUUUAAGUCAGUGGUGAAAUACGGCAGCUCAACUGUCGAGGUGCCAUUGAUACUGGGAAACUUGAGUACUGAUGAGGUAGGCGGAAUGGACGGUGUAGCGGUGAAAUGCUUAGAUAUCGUCCAGAACACCGAUAGCGAAGGCAGCUUACUAAGGAGUAACUGACGCUGAGGCACGAAAGUGUGGGAUCAAACAGG
rnacentral:rRNA from 1 species